UAGGAAGUCCAUUCCAGUUUUGUCUGCCUUUCGAGUGGCCCCCCUUGGGCAGCAGCCAGGCCUGGCCGCACUCCUUCGAAGCAGCACCCAGCUUCCCUUUGCUGUCUGACUCCUCUCAUAUUCUAUCCCUUGCGGGAAGUCUGCUCUUCUCCUGCUGCUUGUACUAGUGGAGCACACUGUGCACAGCCAGUGGGGGUUCAAGGUCAGAAUCAGGUCAAAAAUGAAAGAAGCAAACACAGUCUCCUGCCCAGCUUACCUGUCCUCGGUCCAACCCCUCUCGCCAGCCCUGAGUGGCCAUCACACGAUCGGAAGUCAGCUGAGGGAAGAACAGGGAUGGAAAUAGCAAUCGAGAAGCCUUUUUUGGGGUAAGCCACAUGGCGGGGGCAUUGCAGCAGCCUUUCGUGAGUGGCCGAAAGCCCCCACUCCUAGCAAAUGUGCUUCUCAAAGAUGCAGGAUUUUUUAAUAAACAGAGGAAAUGAUAAAUUAUGUUGUAACUCCACUCCAAAGGCAUUUGGUUCUUAACAGCCAAAUCCUCUGUAGUCUUUAAAUAAACAAAAACUUAUUUGGUGAACAGACAGGGUUGGGGGGGGAGGUUGGAAAAUGAAAGAUUUUCUGUACUUGGGUCCCACAUGUCAACAAUUUCUCUCCUGUGUGUAUGUUGGCCAAAGCUGUAUAUCAUGAUAAAUGAAUAAAGGAAAACCUCCAGCCCAGGGCAGUCAGACGGCUCA
rnacentral:lncRNA from 1 species